GCUAUGGUAGCUUAGUGGUCAUAGCUGCGAACUCGCAUUUCGUCGAGUCGUGGGUUCUUGCCCUGAUGCGUCCUAAAGACCCACAGCGUAGCG